CAAGUCGAGCGAGGCGGCCCGCAAGGGUCAGUCGAGCGGCGAACGGGUGAGUAACGCGUGGAUAACCUGCCCAGAGGUGGGGGAUAACCCGGGGAAACUCGGGCUAAUACCGCAUGAUACCGAGAGGUCAAAGGGGGCUCGCAAGGGCUCUCGCCAUUGGAGGGGUCCGCGUCCGAUUAGCUAGUUGGUAGGGUAAUGGCCUACCAAGGCGACGAUCGGUAGCCGGCCUGAGAGGGUGAUCGGCCACACUGGAACUGAGACACGGUCCAGACUCCUACGGGAGGCAGCAGUGGGGAAUUUUGCGCAAUGGGCUAACGCCUGACGCAGCAACGCCGCGUGGAGGAUGAAGGUCUUUGGAUUGUAAACUCCUGUCAGCAGGGAAAAAGCGAAUCGGCCUAACACGCCGGUGAGUUGAUUGUACCUGCAGAGGAAGCCCCGGCUAACUCUGUGCCAGCAGCCGCGGUAAUACAGAGGGGGCAAGCGUUAUUCGGAAUUAUUGGGCGUAAAGGGCGCGUAGGCGGCUUGGCAAGUGGAUGGUGAAAUCCCUCGGCUUAACCGAGGAACUGCCGUCCAAACUGCUUUGCUUGAGGCCGGGAGAGGCGAGUGGAAUUCCCAGUGUAGCGGUGAAAUGCGUAGAUAUGGGGAGGAACACCAGUGGCGAAGGCGGCUCGCUGGACCGGUUCUGACGCUGAUGCGCGAAAGCGUGGGGAGCAAACGGGAUUGAUACCCCGGUAGUCCACGCUGUAAACGAUGAGUGCUUGGUGUAGCGGGUAUCGACCCCUGCUGUGCCGAAGUCAACACAUUAAGCACUCCGCCUGGGGAGUACGGUCGCAAGG
rnacentral:rRNA from 1 species